GAGUCACGGUGCCGUACUCUUCAAUUUUUAGUUUGCCGGCUGUGUAAUUGUUCAUCAUACCUUGAUAGUUCAUUCUCGAAGAAGAAUUUUAAUACAAGAUGAUGAGAUUCAAUUCUCCAUUGCAACAACAACAGCAGCAGAAGCAGGAACCUCAACAGCAGGAGGAAGCUCAGGCAAAACCUAAUCCCGAUCCGCCGCCCCAAUCCAAAACAGAUGCGCCGCCGAAGCAGGUGGCGAUGGCAUUGGACAGGCUGGGUCAGGCUGGCCGCCUCAUCGCCGACGUGAGGCUUGGAGCUGAUCUUCUACUUGAAGCAUUAUUCGCGGCUGCGGAGCCUCACCAAAUCAACAAGCCCCUCCAUUUCUUCAUCAAGGAAGAUGUUUCCAUGCGCCAACGUCUCCAGGACCUCCGCUCCAUAGGAAGGCAGCUGGAGGAGUCCGGAGUUUUGAAUGAAUCACUUCGUUCAAGAAGUAAUUCUUGGGGAUUGCAUAUGCCCUUGGUGUGUCCUGAUGGGGCGGUUGUUGCUUAUGCUUGGAAGAGACAACUUGCUGGCCAGGCAGGUGCGUCUGCUGUUGACAGGACCAGAUUAGCUCUCAAGGCCUUUACAGAUCAAAAACGGCGAUUUUUCCCUCAUCUUGAUGAUGAACAAAAUAAGGACGAUGCAGAAUCAAUGUCAAAGAAACUUCAUGUUUCCCAAGUAGAGCCAGCCAAUCAACAAGAAGAGCUUGGUGACUGCAAAACACUUUCAGACAUUCUGACACGUGUGGAGAAAGAAGUGCCAAAUUUGAAAAUUUUUACUUACGAACGGUUGGACUGGUUGAAAAGGGCUUCUUCAUUGCCGACUUCAGCAAAUGACAAUUCUUUAGAAGCAUCAGAUGAACAUACUUUUGACAGUUUAAAUAGACUCAGAUUUGAAUCACAGGGCACUGCUGGAACAGAUAAAGUUGCUGUAAUCGAAUUGUUCUUUCCUUCCAUUUUAAGAGCUAUAGUUUCCUUGCACCCGGCUGGUUCUACUAACCCAGACGCUGUAGCUUUCUUUUCACCGGAUGAGGGAGGCAGCUAUAUACAUGCUAGAGGCUCUUCAGUUUAUCAUGUAUUUAGGCCUGUCACGGAGCACGCCGCACUGGCCCAGCAAUAUUUUUUGGGGAGCGGGACUGAAACUGCUUUAUAUUAUCUUCUGCGCUGGAUCUGCAGCUAUGAAAGUCUAUUUGCAAAAGCGUGCAGUAAGUGUGGGCGGUUACUAGCAAUGGACAGAAAAUCUUCGCUACUCUUACCUCCUGUUCGUCGUUGUUACCAGAACUUUUGCAACUCGAAAGUUUUAUCUGCUCCACUUAUUUCAUCAACAGGGGACCGGAAUUCGGAUGAACUUGGGGCUUAUCAUAUUAGUUGUUAUACGGAGCAUGCAUAGUUGCAUCUUUAAAUGUUGCUGGGUGUAGAAUACUGAAAUGUAGUUGACGUGAGGGAAUGACAAGGUUUAAGACCCAUAAAUGGUCAUAAAACCUUCAACAGACAUUAACUCUCUUGUUAGGUAGCAUAUAUAGAACCGCGUAUCGGUCAAAAAGAUCGAAACACCUUACUUGAACAUCUUGUUACUAGAUUGGUAUUUGAUCCAAUUACCUGUUAAGUCUGUUACCAGGCCAAAAUCCGCGGUCGGAGCGAUCGAGGAGAAUAUGAUUGUUUUUGGGCUUGCUUUAA